GGCGCUUGUGAAGGAGGAGUGGCUCUAAAGUGAUUGUGGGCGGUACCGGGAGAGCACGGAGGACACUUCAGCAUCUGCUGAAAUUACUCUUUGGCAAAGGGGAGACCCAAGAGACCCAUGCCGCCGCCACCAUGUUGAUAAACCUGGGUGAAACUCACUUUUUCUUCCUGAAGUUUACAAGCAGGAAGGGAAUACUUCGUAUGUUCAAAAGUCCAUCUGCAGUUAACAUCCGGACUUUCAUUUAUAUUCGAUCUAAUCCAUGGAAUUCUUAUUCUGAUCAACGUUACCAGAUGAGCUAUGUGCACUGAGGGAUGAUUAGCCCAAAGUAGGACAGAAGAGAAUCUGAAAAGUAGCCUUUCCACCUGCCCCCUGGCUCUGCCCUAGAAAACAGUCAGUCAGCAGUACUUCCUAGAAACCACGGAGACAGAAGUUACGCUGCACCGUCUUCAGCUGCAGGAAUCCUGAAUUGGUUCUUUGUACAAGAUCAUCCGUUAAACGCCAAAGCCUCAGUGCCCUCGAUAGAUCAUUCACUCCUACUAAAUGCCUUAGAAAUGGAAAUUCCAGAAAGUGAGGAGAGAUUUCUUUCUGAUUUAUUCACUGCUGUGUCGUCAUGGAUUAGAACAGCGCCUGGGACGUAGUAAGCCCUUUAGUAAACAUUGGAUGCAUGGACAGUUCUGAUUUGUGACUUUGGGAGAAGGGAGAAGAUAUAUGUAACUGGAAGUUGAAAGGUCACAAUCCACAGACAGAUGAAAGAAAAAUGAAGAAAAUGGUGUGAAUUCCUAGGGUUCCAGGAGGGGGGACCAGAAAUGAAGAGCAUAAUUGGAUAUAAAAGGAAAGUGUGAAUUUCCUAAGCACACGCAUGGGCAGCAGAGUAUCUGAUACGCAGUUAGCUUUGAAUACACGUUUGCUUUCAACAAUUUUUUUAAUUUUUUUGCGGUACGCGGGCCUUCACUGUUGUGGCCUCUCCCAUUGGGGAGCACAGGCUCUGGACGCACAGGCUCAGCGGCCAUGGCUCACGGGCCCAGCCGCUCCGCGGCAUGUGGGAUCUUCCCGGACCGGGGCACGAACCCGUGUCCCCUGCAUCGGCAGGCGGACUCUCAACCACUGCACCACCAGGGAAGCCCUCAACAAUUUUUAAUUCUUCAUAAAUUAACAACUGAAGAGAUUCAACUGAAUUUUUAUCCAAUGUGUAGGGUAUAAAGGAUAACAAUAAAAUGAACGCUCCACCACCUGAUUUAAGAUGGUGUUUCUCAUCCCUGUAGGCUGGGAAAGAGAUGGCAAGAGGAGAGAGGAAAGGCCCAAGGAAGCACGUGGGCCGCCUUCCUCAGGGCCUCCUCCCUUGGGUUCCAAUCGCUACCUCAGUUUCCCUUACUUACUAGGAGAGGAUUUCUGUACAGAGAACCCCAAAAGCUGAAGGCAGAAUACAGUCCUAGACUGUUAUGUGACCUUGGGCAUGUUAAAAAGACUUCUCUGGGCCUAUGUUCUGAAUAAAAGAAAGGAGGUAGCUUGGUGGUUUUCAAAUCCUCUCUUAGGUGGGAAGCUGCUCCAACAAAAUCCUCCCAGAUGAUGACUGACUGAAGAGGACGCCUUCCCCAGCACUAGACUGUUUAUUCCUUCCUUAUUUAGGUCUCCAUGAUGCAGUGCUUCCUGUACUGUAUCGAGUUCCUGCACACUCCAGCGGAGUUCUUUUUUGAGUGUGUUUGAAUGUUAAGCUAAGGCUUAUUUCAUUGCUUUCAACGAGAUGCACUUUUAAGGAGUGUCAAAAAUGCAGGCAUGAACAUUUUUAUGACCCUGUACCUUCAUCAGGAGAGCGUCCAACUCAACGUAAACGGACUUAAUCCCCCACAAGCCUGAUUGGCAUUCCAUUCCUAAGAGUUAAUAUCAAGGAAAUAAUCCAAAAGGCAAAAAAAAAAAAAAAGCCAUGUGCAUGGAGUUCUUUGUCAUAACAUUUUUCAUUAUAGUGAAAAAUGAAAAACUGGGGAACAACCAACAGAGGAGGACUGAGUUACGAUGCUUCAGUGUUAUACUAGUGAGUGCAAUGCUCAUUGUCACAUUUGACAGCUAUCAGAACAAUCACUGUGGAGACUGGGUUAACGAGGAGAAGAGGAAAAUGCAGAAUCUGCUGAAGUAUACAGAGGAAGCAGGAGGCCAGCUUGCUUCCCCUGCAUUUCUUCUGACUCUCUUCUAUGUCUUUUCUCAGUUUCUCCCACGUUGCUAUGGGAACAUGGAAAAAUGAGUUGAUAUAUGAGGUCAAUAACACAAUGGUGAUUUUCUGCUUCUGAACUGUGCCAGGGCACAGAAUACAAGCACACUGCAUGGGAAUUAGAGCCUCUCAGGCCUUCAGUGACUUUUUUCCCACAACUGGGCCCUGAAUGUAUUUCUGUCACCAUCCUUACUGUUCCGGUUUUGUAAUGAACUAUGAGGACUGGAGCAGGCACAUAGUAGGCACUUGAUUUACAUUGUGACAUGAACAAAACCUUCCUUUCCUUCCUCUGUGGUUUGUGGCUUACCUAGAAGCACCAUGUAACUGACGCACUGAAACAGCCAGAGGGACUGAGAAAGCAAAAGAAGCAGUGCUUUCAACUCUUUCUGUUUAACAAAGUGCUCGGUGGAACUGUAAGAGGAUAUUUAGCACCACAAAAAGUAGGCCAAGGGUAAGAAAAACUCCAUACCCCAGAGAAUUCAGAUGACCAAAUUAAGUCUGAUCCAGAAUAAACAGUUCUCAUCUGGAAAUCUAGCAGUUCCAGAAAGUACUGUCUGGGGGUAAAAGGCCCACGAUGUCAAGCUGCAUAAUUAUGUAACCCUCCAGGAAAGAGGGAAGAAGUGCCAUCGUACAGGGGUGCACGGAGAAAAUCAAAUGUGAGCAAAUAACAGUUCUCAGGCCUCAAAGAGGAAGACUGUUUUUGCUGAAGAGAAACCAGUCCCUUUCCCAUGAACUUGACCAGCUUCAGUUUUCCCCAUCCUCACCCAGCAUCCAAAGCCUAAAACAAGGUUGCUAUUUCAAAUCCCUCCAAUAGAAAUAACUUUCCAAUAGUCAUGUGAGUGGUGUUGCACAUGAAGGAACUCACCUGAAAUGAAACGGAAGCUUAGCUAUUAUGAAUAGGUCAAGAACAUUCAUGUUAGUAUUUUAUCAGGAAAAGCAUUAUCAUUGUCCCCUUACAGACUCUCAACCACGGCGCCACCAGGGAAGCCCUACCACAACUUUUAAUGCAGGCUUGAUUCCACCAGUCCUUUGUUUAAUGAUGGAAAAGUUCCUAACUUUAUAUAUUGUACUUUUACUGGGGGCUCUGUACAAGAUAUUUUGGGUAAAUAGAGGACUCUGUUACAUCCUGUUAAAAAAAAAUUUCUUAACCCAUAGGAGUCAACCUAAUUAAUUAUAAGGACGUUGUUCUUUCCGCAGCACCCAGGGUGAACCUAUUCCAAUACCUCAUGCCUAUAAUGGUUUUGGUUAUGCAGGUCUAAUCCCUUAACAACAUACGCCGAAGACAAUACUUCUUUUAACCUCAAGUGGAAAUUAAUCUUUAUAUUUCACUUAUUCAUCCAAUAGUAAUAAUUAUUACUGACACAUAUUGAACAAUUGGAUAUGCUAGAAAACGUGCUAACAACUUUGACAUGUGUAAUAUAAAGUUAAUAAUCCUAUUAGUAGAAAUCAUUAUCCCCAAUUUUUGGAGGAAAAACUUGAACGAAGGUGAAACUCAAAUUCACAUCAUCCAUAACCCACCACGCUCAAAAAGACCAUUGAACUCAGAGAGACAUAGGGGAUCUUCAAGUUCAGUCGCUUCAUUGUUGUUUACCUUCAUUAUGGAACUUUUCAAAUACAUACAAAAGUAGUCAGGAGAGUAUAAUAAACUUCCUUUUUAAAAAAAAAAAUUAUUUAUUUGUCUGUUCCAGGUCUGUGGGAUCUAGUUCCCUGACUAAGGAUCAAACCCAGGCCCCCUGCAUUGGGGGUAGCACAGAGUCUUAACCCCUGGAC